UUUCUAGGCCAACAGCAUAUUGCACAAGUAUGCAAACUUGCAUUUUCACCUUGCACAUGUUAAAUUAUUACCUGGACAGCUAGCUCUAAAUUGUUCCACAGCCUUUAAAUGGCCUCUGACUCAAAGCUGCUCUGGCAUCAGAUGGUAGAGUCAACAGUGCUAAGGCAAUUCCCAAGGAAGUGAACAGUUUGAAAGUUCAUAUAAACAGCUGGGGUUUAGCUCACCUCUGCUUUAUUCUAACUCCACGUUGCUGUGAUUCCCCUGAAAUAAGCAGACCUAUCAGGAAGAUCUAAAAUGACACAUGGGUUGAUUCAAGACCAGUGAAAACUAGAAAUAAGAUGCUUUAACCCCCUACCCCCUUUCUGAUGGAUUGCCAUUUCCUGUUGAGCUAAGAAAGGGCAAAGUCAAUGUAAGUGGCAACUUCAGUUUUCUUGACAUUUUUGCAACAAUAUGCAUUUUUUACUGGUGAAGACUGGGAAAAGAAAAGCGCCGUUUUAAAAUCUGAUAAAGACAAAAGCAGUCAGCCAUCUCAGAUAAGAAAUCUGCCAUGUCAGGCCUGUACGUUAGGAAACAGGUAUUUUUGAGCUUCUGAGGAAGGCUAAGGACUGUUCUGUGAGGCUUACGCCGAACAUCCAACACAGUGGUGAUCAGCUACUUAUGGAUGGAGGAAGCUCUAGAAAUAUUUAAUAGGCAAAUUAAUUUUACAUCAGCAAAGAGAAUUUUUUUCCCUCACUCCCCUGCUUUAAUGCAACUUCUCCUUAACAAGCGUAGUCAGACCCUCUAGAAAUGAACCUCAGAGAAACCAGAUUACACUUGUGCUACAUAGGUAACUACAGAAAACUGUCACCUUACGCAAAAAAAAAAAAAGGAAAAGGCUUAUCGAGAAGAACAUCCAAGAAAAAGCUGAAGGCUUUUUACGUGCAGAGGUUCCUCAUCCGCAGUGUGCAUCGCUGGCAUACGAAGCACGCCGGUGGCGCAGACUAGCAGGCGCUCCAGAGAGGUGAGAGAACGUUUCUACAUGAGCCACGACCCGGCUAAUUCCAGCUAGAGGAGGAAGCGUUAGUCUGCGAAUCCAGCUCUGGGCCAGGUACCUGCACUCAGUGAGCCAGCCCAGGGCCUCUUCCCCUGAUACACAGUAGUAAGAUGAAGUAGAGCGUCUCAUGGGUGAAAUGGGUCAUCCUGAGGCUGGUAAAAACAUGGAUUUAAGUGAGCUAAUUUGGAGGGGGGGNNNNNNNNNNNNNNNNNNNNNNNNNNNNNNNAUAGGCUUUGUUUACCCAAGUGUGCCAGAGGAGUGGAGGAGCAGCAUGCCAUAGGCCUUGGGGGGGUCUGAGUGGUGAUCGCAGGCGGGGCUGCUGUAUUUCCGGCCAAGAUCUUUCAGUUAGAAGCACAAACAUGCCAUCGCACUAUGUAAUAGAAAAUACGCUUCCCAGAUGCACUAAGCUAACUUCACAUACAGCCAUCGACUGUCUUACACGGACAGAUUAGGUCAUGUACUUUGGGUAGCACUCGCGUUGUUGUGUGCAUCCUUGGAGAAGCCUAAAAAAAAAUAGGCUUCGGUUCUGCAUGGCUGUACUUCUGCCUGAGAAAAGCAGUCAUGCCCGAGGAACGCACAAACCUUUUGCCCAGAGAUCAGUAAGCCAGGGGCUGCUGUUUCUGCCAUCACCACUGAUAGUAGCCAGACA
ensembl:lncRNA